GGUACGACGCAUUCGGCCCGGCGGCUUCGCGUCGCUUGUGUGCUGGACUGCGUCUGCCAUCCUUCUCGAUCGCGACGCGGCUGCCCUUCGCUGGGUGGUCGCUCCGGUUGUUGAUCUUUUACUUUGAAAAAAUUAGAGUGUUUAAAGCAGGCUUGCGCUAUGAAUACAUUAGCAUGGAAUAAUAAUUUAGGACUUUGUUUCUAUUUUGUUGGCUUCUAGGGACGAAGUA
rnacentral:rRNA from 1 species